AUACGUAGGGGGCGAGCGUUGUCCGGAAUUAUUGGGCGUAAAGGGCGCGUAGGCGGCGCGGUAAGUCUGGAGUGAAAGUCCUGCUUUCAAGGUGGGAAUUGCUUUGGAUACUGCCGCGCUUGAGUGCCGGAGAGGUUAUCGGAAUUCCCGGUGUAGCGGUGAAAUGCGUAGAGAUCGGGAGGAACACCAGUGGCGAAGGCGGGUAACUGGACUGCAACUGACGCUGAGGCGCGAAAGUGUGGGGAGCAAACAGGAUUAGAUACCCUGGUAGUCCACACUGUAAACGAUGAAUGCUAGGUGUAAGAGGUAUCGACCCCUUUUGUGCCGGAGUCAACACAAUAAGCAUUCCGCCUGGGGAGUACGGCCGCAAGGUUGAAACUCAAAUGAAUUGACGGGG
rnacentral:rRNA from 1 species